GAUGAAGAACGUAGCGAAAUGCGAUACUUGGUGUGAAUUGCAGAAUCCCGUGAACCAUCGAGUCUUUGAACGCAAGUUGCGCCCGAAGCCAUUAGGCCGAGGGCACGCCUGCCUGGGCGUCACACGUCGUUGCCCCCCCAUCUACUCCUUCGGGAUUGCGGGGGGCGGAUGAUGGCCUCCCGUGCGCCUCGCCGCGCGGUUGGCAUAAAUGCCAAGUCCUCGGCGACGCACGCCACGACAAUCGGUGGUUGCGAAACCUCGGUUGCCCGUCGUGUGCGGUCGUCGCGCAUCGAGGGCUCGAAAAAAUUGCCGGGUUCCGGCUCGGCUUUCAACGCAACCCCAGGUCAGGCGGGGUUACCCGCUGAAUUUAAGCAUAUCAAUAAGCGGAGGA
rnacentral:misc_RNA from 1 species